GACGAACGCUGGCGGCGUGCUUAACACAUGCAAGUCGAACGGAAAGGCCCUGCUUUUGUGGGGUGCUCGAGUGGCGAACGGGUGAGUAACACGUGAGUAACCUGCCCUUGACUUUGGGAUAACUUCAGGAAACUGGGGCUAAUACCGGAUAGGAGCUCCUGCUGCAUGGUGGGGGUUGGAAAGUUUCGGCGGUUGGGGAUGGACUCGCGGCUUAUCAGCUUGUUGGUGGGGUAGUGGCUUACCAAGGCUUUGACGGGUAGCCGGCCUGAGAGGGUGACCGGCCACAUUGGGACUGAGAUACGGCCCAGACUCCUACGGGAGGCAGCAGUGGAGAAUAUUGCACAAUGGGCGGAAGCCUGAUGCAGCAACGCCGCGUGCGGGAUGACGGCCUUCGGGCUGUAAACCGCUUUCGCCUGUGACGAAGCGUGAGUGACGGUAAUGGGUAAAGAAGCACCGGCUAACUACGUG
rnacentral:rRNA from 1 species